GAGUUUGAUCGUGGCUCAGAUUGAACGCUGGCGGCAUGCCUUACACAUGCAAGUCGAACGGCAGCACGGGAGCUUGCUCCUGGUGGCGAGUGGCGAACGGGUGAGUAAUGCAUCGGAACGUAUCCUGGAGUGGGGGAUAACGUAGCGAAAGUUACGCUAAUACCGCAUAUUCUGUGAGCAGGAAAGCGGGGGACCUUCGGGCCUCGCGCUCUUGGAGCGGCCGAUGUCGGAUUAGCUAGUUGGUGAGGUAAAGGCUCACCAAGGCGACGAUCCGUAGCAGGUCUGAGAGGAUGAUCUGCCACACUGGAACUGAGACACGGUCCAGACUCCUACGGGAGGCAGCAGUGGGAAUUUUGGACAAUGGGGGAAACCCUGAUCCAGCCAUGCCGCGUGAGUGAAGAAGGCC
rnacentral:rRNA from 1 species